rnacentral:rRNA from 1 species
CAGAGGGUGCGAGCGUUAAUCGGAUUUACUGGGCGUAAAGCGUGCGUAGGCGGCUUUUUAAGUCGGAUGUGAAAUCCCCUGAGCUUAACUUAGGAAUUGCAUUCGAUACUGGGAAGCUAGAGUAUGGGAGAGGAUGGUAGAAUUCCAGGUGUAGCGGUGAAAUGCGUAGAGAUCUGGAGGAAUACCGAUGGCGAAGGCAGCCAUCUGGCCUAAUACUGACGCUGAGGUACGAAAGCAUGGGGAGCAAACAGGAUU